AUCGUAUAUAAACUUGUGUCACAUGGUGAUGAUCAGGCAGAAUUCAAACACUGAAAAGUCUGAGCUGUGGCAGUCUCUGGCUUUGUGUGAUUGCCAAAAAAACUCCAGCAUGGAACACUAGGUAGCAUCUUAACCUCUAGUUUCUGCUUGUAAUGAUUACAUGGUGCUGUUUCAUGGCAAUUUUGAGGUUAUUUGAAGGACUCUGGAGAAAGGAGCCUGAAUGGCAUGUAGCAUUGGAAUGGACCCAGAAACUGCUGGAAGAUGCAAGAGGAUUCACAGGGAAGAAGUGCAGAGGGCAAUGGAGAGAAGCCAAAGUGAACAAGCAUGGAGUGCAAAGAAUAAACACAGAGGUUACAAGGAAGAUCAAGAUGAAUGAUCAAAGGUGUGGAACAUUUCCAUCUGAGGAGAUAGUAAAUGAAAAGUAAACAGACCAAGAUGUUUCUAUUUGAAGAAAAGGUAAUUGAGGGGAUACUAUGAAGGAAAUCUAUGAAAUGGUUACUGGUAUUAGGGCAGAUAGAGAGCAAUCACAUUCUCACAAUAAGAGAACUGAAUGGGAGUCUAUAAAAUUGUCAUUUGGCAGGUUCAAAACACAAGGAAGUAAUUUUUUUUUUCCCAUAAAAUAGAAUUGAAUGUAGAAUAAACUUGUUGUUAUGGUAAUAAAAAUGAGAACA
rnacentral:lncRNA from 1 species